AACGAACGCUGGCGGCAGGCUUAACACAUGCAAGUCGAACGCCCCGCAAGGGGAGUGGCAGACGGGUGAGUAACGCGUGGGAAUCUACCCAGUUCUACGGAACAACACAGGGAAACUUGUGCUAAUACCGUAUACGCCCCAAGGGGGAAAGAUUUAUCGGAAUUGGAUGAGCCCGCGUUGGAUUAGCUAGUUGGUGAGGUAACGGCUCACCAAGGCGACGAUCCAUAGCUGGUCUGAGAGGAUGAUCAGCCACACUGGGACUGAGACACGGCCCAGACUCCUACGGGAGGCAGCAGUGGGGAAUAUUGGACAAUGGGCGAAAGCCUGAUCCAGCCAUGCCGCGUGAGUGAUGAAGGCCUUAGGGUUGUAAAGCUCUUUCAGUGGGGAAGAUAAUGACGGUACCCACAGAAGAAGCCCCGGCUAACUUCGUG
rnacentral:rRNA from 2 species